rnacentral:rRNA from 1 species
AUGCAAGUCGAACGGUAACAGGAAGAAGCUUGCUUCUUUGCUGACGAGUGGCGGACGGGUGAGUAAUGUCUGGGAAACUGCCUGAUGGAGGGGGAUAACUACUGGAAACGGUAGCUAAUACCGCAUAACGUCGCAAGACCAAAGAGGGGGACCUUCGGGCCUCUUGCCAUCGGAUGUGCCCAGAUGGGAUUAGCUAGUAGGUGGGGUAACGGCUCACCUAGGCGACGAUCCCUAGCUGGUCUGAGAGGAUGACCAGCCACACUGGAACUGAGACACGGUCCAGACUCCUACGGGAGGCAGCAGUGGGGAAUAUUGCACAAUGGGCGCAAGCCUGAUGCAGCCAUGCCGCGUGUAUGAAGAAGGCCUUCGGGUUGUAAAGUACUUUCAGCGGGGAGGAAGGGAGUAAAGUUAAUACCUUUGCUCAUUGACGUUACCCGCAGAAGAAGCACCGGCUAACUCCGUGCCAGCAGCCGCGGUAAUACGGAGGGUGCAAGCGUUAAUCGGAAUUACUGGGCGUAAAGCGCACGCAGGCGGUUUGUUAAGUCAGAUGUGAAAUCCCCGGGCUCAACCUGGGAACUGCAUCUGAUACUGGCAAGCUUGAGUCUCGUAGAGGGGGGUAGAAUUCCAGGUGUAGCGGUGAAAUGCGUAGAGAUCUGGAGGAAUACCG